AGCCGGUGCGCUGACCCGCAAGGGAGGCAGCCGUCCAAGGUAUAACUCAUGAUUGGGGUGAAGUCGUAACAAGGUAGCCGUAGGAGAACCUGCGGCUGGAUCACCUCCUUU
rnacentral:rRNA from 1 species